UUUCAUUAUUUUCCUGCUAAUAUAAAUUUSGCCUCUGAGUGGAAAGCAGCAAUUGCACCUUAUAUUGACCAUAAAAAUUUAUCCGAAUAUUCAACUGUUUGCAGUGCACAUUUUAAACCGGAAGAUUUUUUGACCAAUGCAAAGAAACGCAUGCUUUUACCAGGAGCUGUUCCUUCUAGAUUUUUUCAAACCACGACGGAAAUUGGUGAAUUACCACAGCCAACAUUAAGUACUAACUCUAACAACGUUUUUGACUUUGGGA